UCGCGACGGUACUGCAAUACUUCA
rnacentral:siRNA from 1 species